rfam:Nomascus leucogenys chromosome 17, whole genome shotgun sequence.
GCCGGGCGUGGUGGCGGGCGCCUGUAAUCCCAGCUACUCGGGAGGCUGAGGCAGGAGAAUCACUUGAACCCGGGAGGCAGAGGUUGCAGUGAGCGGAGAUCGCGUCACUGCACUCCAGCCUGGGUGACAGAAUGAGACCCUGUCUCAA